UACGAAGGGGGCUAGCGUUGCUCGGAAUCACUGGGCGUAAAGCGCACGUAGGCGGAUCUUUAAGUCGGGGGUGAAAUCCUGGAGCUCAACUCCAGAACUGCCUUCGAUACUGAGGACCUUGAGUCCGGGAGAGGUGAGUGGAACUGCGAGUGUAGAGGUGAAAUUCGUAGAUAUUCGCAAGAACACCAGUGGCGAAGGCGGCUCACUGGCCCGGUACUGACGCUGAGGUGCGAAAGCGUGGGGAGCAAACAGG
rnacentral:rRNA from 1 species